AAGUCGAGCGAACAGACGAGGAGCUUGCUCCUCUGACGUUAGCGGCGGACGGGUGAGUAACACGUGGAUAACCUACCUAUAAGACUGGGAUAACUUCGGGAAACCGGAGCUAAUACCGGAUAAUAUAUUGAACCGCAUGGUUCAAUAGUGAAAGACGGUUUUGCUGUCACUUAUAGAUGGAUCCGCGCCGCAUUAGCUAGUUGGUAAGGUAACGGCUUACCAAGGCAACGAUGCGUAGCCGACCUGAGAGGGUGAUCGGCCACACUGGAACUGAGACACGGUCCAGACUCCUACGGGAGGCAGCAGUAGGGAAUCUUCCGCAAUGGGCGAAAGCCUGACGGAGCAACGCCGCGUGAGUGAUGAAGGUCUUCGGAUCGUAAAACUCUGUUAUUAGGGAAGAACAAAUGUGUAAGUAACUAUGCACGUCUUGACGGUACCUAAUCAGAAAGCCACGGCUAACUACGUGCCAGCAGCCGCGGUAAUACGUAGGUGGCAAGCGUUAUCCGGAAUUAUUGGGCGUAAAGCGCGCGUAGGCGGUUUUUUAAGUCUGAUGUGAAAGCCCACGGCUCAACCGUGGAGGGUCAUUGGAAACUGGAAAACUUGAGUGCAGAAGAGGAAAGUGGAAUUCCAUGUGUAGCGGUGAAAUGCGCAGAGAUAUGGAGGAACACCAGUGGCGAAAGCGACUUUCUGGUCUGUAACUGACGCUGAUGUGCGAAAGCGUGGGGAUCAAACAGGAUUAGAUACCCUGGUAGUCCACGCCGUAAACGAUGA
rnacentral:rRNA from 1 species